UGGCUCUCGCAUCGAUGAAGAACGCAGCGAACCGCGAUAUUUUUUCGUGAAUUGCAGAAACUCCGUGAAUCAUCAAUCUUUGAACGCACCUUGCGCCCAUUGGUAUUCCGAUGGGCAUGUCUGUUUGAGUGUCGCGUACCCCUCAACCCCCGAUUCGUCGUGCGGGCUUGGACCGUGGCCGCACCGGCCGGCGCACCUGAGCGUCGGCCCGGCCGAAAUGCAUGCGAAGCACACGAUCUGUGCGCCGCGACGACCUGGCGUUGUAGACCCCUCGCCGAUCGGACCGGUAGACAGGCGCUUCCGACCAAACCUAACGACCUCAAAUCAGAUAGGACUACCCGCUGA
rnacentral:misc_RNA from 1 species